ensembl:lncRNA
GGAAGCUGGUCCAAGCUCUGACUCUACAUUUUCUUCCAGCACAAAGUUUGCCCUUCUCAGCACACUUUUCAAGACCUUCUGUAACUCUCAGUGGAAAGAAAUUCUCUAUCCUUCCCUUUUCCUUUAACGACAGUUUUCCCAUCAUUUUUUCCCAUUAUCCAGAGCUGCUCUGGCUCAAGAAGAACUCAGAGAAGCUGGAUAUUCUGGGCUUGUGCCUGGUUCUCUGGGGCUGGGUCAUUGGGACAUCUGUUUGGACGUGGUCCCUCUCUGUGGUCCAGGAAAAGCCAAGAUGUCAACUCAACUGCUUCAGUGAGGCACCUGCUCUGUUGCCUCUCAACCUGGAUGGCGGUGGCCCUUGCCUGACACUCCCGCCCAUGCCUAGUUCCCCACCUUCUCAAUUUUUCUGGUUUCCUUCACUCAUCCUAAGGCCAGCACUAUGCUUGUAACCCAUGGCAGUACUUGGAAAACAGCAAGCAAAAAAAGACUUUGAUCUGUCCACCUUUUUUUCUUUUUGCACUUUCAUGGACAAAAGAGAGAUUCAAUGUUCAAGUGCUUGGCCCUUGUUUACGUAUAAUAGCUUGUCGAAUUUCCCACCCCAUCAAUGGAAUUUAGGCUACUCGUGAUAAGACGCAACUUCGGAAUAAUAAAAAUA